rnacentral:rRNA from 1 species
CCCGCACAAGCGGUGGAGCAUGUGGUUUAAUCGAAGCAACGCGAAGAACCUUACCAGGUCUUGACAUCCCCUGACAACCCGAGAGAUCGGGCGUUCCCCUUCGGGGGACAGGGUGACAGGUGGUGCAUGGUUGUCGUCAGCUCGUGUCGUGAGAUGUUGGGUUAAGUCCCGCAACGAGCGCAACCCUCGACCUUAGUUGCCAGCAUUCAGUUGGGCACUCUAAGGUGACUGCCGGCUAAAAGUCGGAGGAAGGUGGGGAUGACGUCAAAUCAUCAUGCCCCUUAUGACCUGGGCUACACACGUGCUACAAUGGUGAGGACAAAGAGACGCAAGACCGCGAGGUGGAGCAAAUCUCACAAACCUCAUCCCAGUUCGGAUUGCAGGCUGAAACUCGCCUGCAUGAAGCCGGAGUUGCUAGUAAUCGCGAAUCAGCAUGUCGCGGUGAAUACGUUCCCGGGCCUU